rnacentral:lncRNA from 1 species
CUAGCCUGUUUCUUCAUAACUGAUGAAUGUUUCAAUUCUUGAACGCAGGCCAGAAAUUUUCUGGCAAAUGAAUUCGAUCCUACAUUUCGGGAAAUACCAAUCAAAAUGUCAGAUUUUGAUGUUAAAAUGUGAAAGGCAGCACAUGAAAACUGCAUCUUGGAGAGGGAUGUAGCGCCCCCCCCAAUGAAUUUUAUCAUUAAUUUCUCAGGAAAUGUAGCUAUACAAUCAGAUCUGCUGUUGUUUUAAGAACAUUUGAUAGAAUUAAAACGAAGCAGGAUCAUAAAUAUGAUUUGACCAAAUCAACCAACAUUUGCAGGACAUAAAUCGAAUCAAAUAACAAAGGCAAACAUGAUUAAAAUGACAUUUUUAUUAUCAGCACAAGGCAAUAAUACUAUAAGGAUGAGAAGGCAGCAUUUUCAUGUAAACUCAGAUGACUUAAGAAAGUUACAUACAAUUCCUUUAGCAGUAGGGAAGAACAGAAAAAAAGAAAAUGGAGUUAUCAUUUUCAGCCAAAUGAGGGGUUGCAUUUUCACUUUGCCUUAUCCUCCUUGACUUCCUUCUCUUUCUCUACCUUGGCAUCCUUCACCUUUGGUUUCCCUUGCUUUGGUUUCAUGAAGCAGAAACAAGAACAGCAAGGGCACUGGAACAAGAACUUCAUGGCUUUUUUUGCUUUCCUUUGGUUUCAAAAAUAUGCCCAAGAAGCCUUAUGUGUAGAAAAAAAAUGCUAAGCUUUUCUAUCUUGUUUCCCUUCUAAUAAUGCUGCUUAUAUUUGCCGACAGUCAUGUGAUUUAUCGGUAAAAUACGAAAUUCUCAGUUCUAAUUAGCAAAAUUUAAAUACUAAUGGUCUCAAGAUUAAAAAAAGUGGUGUUUAUAUUUUCCAAGAAUGUGCAAUUGCCCCCAUUGGAUGUCGACUUCAAUCACUUUCAAUACAGAAGAUGCUGUCAAAAAAUGACUACUUUAGGGUUAGGGAAACAUGGUGGCCCAGGUGUGUGGGGCCUAUCAUGAUCAAGAAUGAAGUUCAUCACCUUGGCCAUGAUCUGAGGGUCUACUUUUUAUUUCCUUGCCUUACACUACAGAUUCCAAAUCUGGCAAGCAACAGGAGACAUGCAAUUUGCAUUAUCACCAUGAGUAUGAAG